GACGAACGCUGGCGGCGUGCUUAACACAUGCCAGUCGAACGGAAAGGCCCUGCUUUUGUGGGGUGCUCGAGUGGCGAACGGGUGAGUAACACGUGAGUAACCUGCCCUUGACUUUGGGAUAACUUCAGGAAACUGUGGCUAAUACCGGAUAGGAGCUCCUUCUGCAUGGUGGGGGUUGGAAAGUUUCGGCGGUUGGGGAUGGACUCGCGGCUUAUCAGCUUGUUGGUGGGGUAGUGGCUUACCAAGGCUUUGACGGGUAGCCGGCCCGAGAGGGUGACCGGCCAAAUUGGGACUGAGAUACGGCCCAGACUCCUACGGGAGGCAGCAGUGGGGAAUAUUGCACAAUGGGCGGAAGCCUGAUGCAGCAACGCAGCGUGCGGGAUGACGGCCUUCGGGUUGUAAACCGCUUUCGCCUGUGACGAAGCGUGAGUGACGGUAAUGGGUAAAGAAGCACCGGCUAACUACGUG
rnacentral:rRNA from 1 species